UACGUAGGGUGCAAGCGUUGUCCGGAAUUACUGGGCGUAAAGCGCACGUAGGCGGAUUGUUAAGUCGGGAGUGAAAUCUCUGGGCUCAACUCAGAGACUGCUUCCGAAACUGCUGUGCUGGAGUGUGGGAGAGGCGCGUGGAAUUGCAGGUGUAGCGGUGAAAUGCGUAGAUAUCUGCAGGAACACCCGUGGCGAAAGCGGCGCGCUGGACCACUACUGACGCUGAGGAACGAAAGCUAGGGGAGCAAACAGG
rnacentral:rRNA from 1 species